CCGCCCUAUGGGACUCCCAAUCACGGCCAGUUGUGAUACAGCCUGGAAUCGAACCACGGUCUGUAGUGACGCCUCUAGACCGCUGCGCCACUCGAGAGCUUAACAGACCUCACUUUAAAGAAAUUUGCCUUGUUGUAAAAGUUGACCCAUCACUUUAGAGUGGAUUGCAGUCAAGAAGAUUCAGUUGAAACUUAGACCGCUGCGCCACUCGGGAGGCCAAAGGGUGCAUAGCCGACAAGGUGCGAUCUGCUAGAAUCCAGGGGGGAAUCCUAUGAAGCAAGCUAGAUCUACUCAGGGGUUUCUAAAGCUAAUCAGCUUCAAUUAGCUUCGCAUUUCAUAGGCUUCGUCCGUACUAUGACUGUGGAUAUUGCUCGUCCGUCUGCUGCUAACUCUAGCAGGCUUGUAACUACGCGUGCAUGUAGCACAUGGUUAGUCGGACGAUAAAACUCUUCAGUGACUUAAUACUGAAACGUCAAUAUAUGGGCGAGUAAGUGCCACAUUUUCAUUUGUGCUGAAAUCAAAAUUAAAUAAUAUUUUUCUUGCAAAUUCAGCAAGCUAUUGCGUGAAAUAGGAUUUUCGAAGUGCCUUCUGUAUUUUAUUAUUGUUAAUGCCGACUUUGGUUUGCUUUGGUGUGCUUAUCAAUGCACAAACACCUUUCCCACCACUCUGGUCGAUAAAAUAAUUGUAUUAAGUCAUACAAAAGUGUUACUGUGCGUGAAGUUUAAAAUGCUUUCUGUCAUUACUAAAUGGGUAAUGUGAUAUAUUUUAACAUUUUUAUUUUUUAACACAGACAUUUUAAUAAAAUAUUUAAUCAGUUGUCUUCCUCAAAUGAAGGAGGGAAUCUGAUGUCAUUGGUCCUCAACUCGUGGCUCAGUCAUUUCAUUCAGGGUUAUCAGUGGUGUACGGGAGGCCCUGAAGAGCCCGACCUCAGUCGAAUACCUCUCUAUUCUGAUGUAGCAGCUGUCACUUCAGGACCCACAGAGCCUAGUCUAGCUACUCACAACCAUAGCCAUCCAGUAUCCUCUACUAUAUACUACUUUCUUUACUGUUACAGCCAAAUCUUUACAUGUUUCCUAUCAGAACGGCAAGGGCUGGAGGUAUCGCGCUUCUGAUAUCAUUGAUUUACUUUUAUUUGAAAUCACUAUUGGAGAACCUUGCCUUGCCUUUUUUGUAUUACUUUGGUUGAUUUUUCAGUUUUAUUGAUACAACUAUUGAGAAUUGAGAGAAAUUACUUUUCAUCUUCUCUCAGGAUAUGGACAGUGCUUGUUGAGGUUUUAGUGCUCUGAAAUGAAGACUGUAAUUUCCAAGAAGAUUGUGCAGACGUACUGUAUCAUCGAAUAGGCUUGUUAUUACACAGGUGCAUAGUUUACAGCUUCAUGGCGGAAAUGUAUAGUCGUAUUAUGCCUCUCCUAAUUUUCAAACAAACACUGAUAUACUGAAUCUGAUGAUACUGUAAAUGCCUAAAUCAAAUCUUCAAAGUUACAAGCCUCCAAUGUUUAACCCCAUGCUUCUAUACAACCAAAUAAAUCACACUCAGGUUUUCCACUGUGUAUAAAAAUGUCAUGUGAUCGACUAUAUUGCCAUACUGGAAGAGGAUGGUGCAAUAAAUGUGUCGCUGUUUAUCCCAGCUUCCUUCACAGGAAGUUUAUGGUGUUGUAAUCUCAUUUGUUCCAAGUGUGACAAGAAAGUUGUCUGAAAAUAUUUGUUUUGGACCAGGUGGCUCGCGCGAAUUGAAACAUUAUCUGAGGAGCAUUUUGGAGGGGAUACAUUUUUUUUAUCGUGAUUCUUUAUGGAUAUUUUGUGUAUUUUAUAAUUCAAACAUUUUAGGAUGAUACGGUUAGAGAUAUAACCUUAGUAUAUUAUUUCCUAAGCUUUUCGCUUGAAGCCAAUAACAUGUUAAUUUGGUUGGUGCGAGUUUUAAUUUUUUCCUUGUUCAUUUAAACAUUUGUGGAAAUAAAAUAUUGUGCAAU